UAGAGGCGGUGGAGACAGGAAUGGAGCCAAGGCGGCAGAGGCAGGAGGUGGGAGC
rnacentral:sRNA from 1 species